GAUGAACGCUGGCGGCGUGCCUAAUACAUGCAAGUCGAGCGAACAGAUGAGGAGCUUGCUCCUCUGACGUUAGCGGCGGACGGGUGAGUAACACGUGGAUAACCUACCUAUAAGACUGGGAUAACUUCGGGAAACCGGAGCUAAUACCGGAUAAUAUAUUGAACCGCAUGGUUCAAUAGUGAAAGACGGUUUUGCUGUCACUUAUAGAUGGAUCCGCGCCGCAUUAGCUAGUUGGUAAGGUAACGGCUUACCAAGGCAACGAUGCGUAGCCGACCUGAGAGGGUGAUCGGCCACCCUGGAACUGAGACACGGUCCAGACUCCUACGGGAGGCAGCAGUAGGGAAUCUUCCGCAAUGGGCGAAAGCCUGACGGAGCAACGCCGCGUGAGUGAUGAAGGUCUUCGGAUCGUAAAACUCUGUUAUUAGGGAAGAACAAAUGUGUAAGUAACUAUGCACGUCUUGACGGUACCUAAUCAGAAAGCCACGGCUAACUACGUG
rnacentral:rRNA from 1 species